AUUGCCCUUGAUUGCCCUUUAGAUCACCGAAGUCAAGCAUCAUUGGGCGCGGUCAGUACUUGGGUGGGUGACCACCUGGGAACACCGCGUGCCGUU